rnacentral:lncRNA from 1 species
UGUAAACAUCACAUUUUUCCUAGUCACUUUUUUUUGGAAUGCCAAGCAACACUAACAAGUCAAACAAAAUGACAAAGUAAGUAAGGCUUAAAAUUAUGUUUGGUCUUGUUACAUUGCUAAGUCUGUAAUUUUAGAGCAAACACAACUGGAUUACUUUUGGUUGAUUUGAUAAGGCUCUUUGGUAGGCCCAUUGGUUACGAGUCCAUCAUGGAUCUGAUGUCUGACGCUACACAGAAGUCGUUGUGAACUGUGAGGGAAACCCUAGAUGUUGCCAUUAAACUUGGAUUUCUACAGCAAAAUGGGCGCUGCCAGUUUACAGUAGCUCCGCUAACACUUCAAACAACUCUGGACAUUAUGAAUGAUGCAGAUUUGGGGGGUAAUUGUACCGACUGUGAUUCAGAUUCGUUAAUGGAUCCGAAAGUGGAAGCGUUGUAUGGUUUCUACUUCUCGCCUUAACCGCAGUGCCAGCUUUGGACGGGCUGCCAAGGCACGUCCAAAAAAAAGCGGCAGUCAUUCGAGCGCAAAGGGGCUCAGGUCUGGUGCUGUUUCUUAGAAGAAUAAAAAGUCUAAGGCACGACCCAAGCAUUGUCUUCACUGUCAACGUAAGAGGGCUCUAGAAAACUAACAUCCUAAAAAGAAC